CAGCUUUGGCUGGCCUUUGCUUUCCUCUUUCAUUUCAUCUCCCCCUCUCCUCCCGGCAGCCCUUCAGCAGUUUGGAGCAAAUCUGUCUCUCCCCAAUGACUCGUCUGAAAGUGAUUGUCAGGGGCAGUCCCAGCUGCUAUCCCUCUCCACAACCUGAUUUGAGCUCCCUGUGCCCCUCCAGCAGUCCUGGAGUGGGUGGUGGAGCUGUGGGACUCCCAGCUGUACCCUCUGCCCUGCUACCCUUGGACCACCCUCUCUGAACCCAGCAGUACCUCUCCAGCAACUCUCUCAUCAGUGACUCAGCAAUUGAGUAAUUGCCUUCUUUUUCCUCCUCUCUGUGUAUUUAUAAGAAACUUCAAUAGAUGGAAAUUGCGUUUAG